CUUUUACAACAGACGUCGGUUGGUUUAUUAUGUGUAUAUGACGACCGGCUACCAUAUUGCGCUUCAUGCGUUAUCUUUAAUUAUCUCCAUUAAAUCUACGUUCUGGUAAUGAAUGGAUGGUGGUCGAUUUGCAUCCUGGGAAUAGAAAUCUGUGCACGUGGAGCUCUUCAUGUUCCUGUAGAUUAAGAGUUAGUAUUUGUUUUCAUAGAGAACAUGUGGUUUUACCGCUACAGCUUGCUUUACAUUGAGCCUGGUAUGUUGUACAAGUGUGCUCCUUGAACAAACCCCUUAAAUCCUUGUGUAUAUACAAUUCUCAUUGUUCAAUAAAGACUUUAUUUUGCACUA